rnacentral:rRNA from 1 species
AGCGAACGUUAGCGGCGGGCCUAACACAUGCAAGUCGAGCGAGAAAAGGGCUUCGGCCCUUAGUAAAGCGGCGGACGGGUGAGUAACACGUAGGUAAUCUUCCCUUGAGCGGGGGACGAACGAGCCGAAAAGACUCGCUAAUACCGCAUAAGUUUCCCGGGUACCGUCUGGUCCUGGGAAGGAAAGACUAGGCCGCAAGGUCCGGCACUCGAGGAGGAGCCUGCGUCGCAUCAGCUAGUUGGUGGGGUAACGGCCACCAAGGCGAAGACGCGUAGCUGGUCUGAGAGGAUGAUCAGCCACACUGGGACUGAGACACGGCCCAGACUCCUACGGGAGGCAGCAGUGGGGAAUAUUGGACAAUGGGCGCAAGCCUGAUCCAGCCACGCCGCGUGAGUGAUGAAGGCCU